rnacentral:rRNA from 1 species
CUUGGCAACAAUAGUGCUGUGGUCCCACCUGACUCCAUACCGAACUCAGAAGUGAAACGCAGUUACGCCGAUGGUAG